rnacentral:lncRNA from 1 species
AGGGACAGGGACUCACCCAAGGUCACACAGCCAGUCUUGGAUUCAAACUUGAGAGUUUGUAACCCUUUCUAAUGAUCAGGACCUCCCAGAGUUGCCCAAACUUCUGACCCAGACUCUUCAGAGGCCUGCGCGGAGGAAGAGGAAGGGCUCAUGCCUCAAGGUCCCCAGCUCCUGGACUUCAGCGUGGACGAGGUGGCCGAGCAGCUGACCCUCAUAGACUUGGAGCUCUUCUCCAAGGUGAGGCUCUACGAGUGCUUGGGCUCCGUGUGGUCGCAGAGGGACCGGCCGGGGGCUGCAGGCGCCUCCCCCACUGUGCGCGCCACCGUGGCCCAGUUCAACACCGUGACCGGCUGUGUGCUGGGUUCCGUGCUCGGAGCACCGGGCUUGGCCGCCCCGCAGAGGGCGCAGCGGCUGGAGAAGUGGAUCCGCAUCGCCCAGCGCUGCCGAGAACUGCGGAACUUCUCCUCCUUGCGCGCCAUCCUGUCCGCCCUGCAAUCUAACCCCAUCUACCGGCUCAAGCGCAGCUGGGGGGCAGUGAGCCGGGAACCGCUAUCUACUUUCA